rnacentral:rRNA from 1 species
UACGUAGGUGGCAAGCGUUGUCCGGAAUUAUUGGGCGUAAAGCGCGCGCAGGCGGUCAUUUACGUCUGGGGUGAAAGCCCGGAGCUCAACUCCGGGAUUGCCUUGGAUACGGGAUGACUUGAGGAUCGGAGAGGCAAGGGGAAUUCCACGUGUAGCGGUGAAAUGCGUAGAGAUGUGGAGGAACACCUGUGGCGAAGGCGCCUUGCUGGCCGAUUUCUGACGCUGAGGCGCGAAAGCGUGGGGAGCAAACAGG